GCCCAGGUGGUGAAAUGGCAGACACGCUAGGCUUAGAACCUAGUGCGCAAGCGUGGAGGUUCGAGUCCUCUCCUGGGCACCA
rnacentral:tRNA from 1 species